AUGGCCAUACCAUGCUGAAUAUACCGGUUCUCGUUAGAUCACCGAAGUCAAGCAUCAUUGGGCGCGGUCAGUACUUGGGUGUGGGAACACC
rnacentral:rRNA from 1 species